rnacentral:tRNA from 2 species
GGAGAGAUGUCUGAGCGGUUGAAGGAGCACGCCUGGAAAGCGUGUGUACAUGUAAGUGUACCGAGGGUUCGAAUCCCUCUCUCUCCGCCA